rnacentral:lncRNA from 1 species
AAGCACGAGGUCACCUUCUCGGAGCACACGAGGCUUGACCUUCUUAUCGAAUGCUUUCUUCAUUCUCUGCUGAUAUAACUGACCAUGACACAUGGCAGUUAAUCUUUUCUUUUCGAUCAGAUUCACUUGGUCGUAAUGACUCUGAAUCCAUUCAGCAUCAGUCAACCUGGGAUUUGAGGGUGCUAUUUUCUUUUGUUUCUUUCUUUCUUUUUUCUUUCUUUUGAUUUUG